rnacentral:rRNA from 1 species
GACGUAGGUGGCGAACGUUAUCCGGAAUUAUUGGGCGUAAAGGGUGCGUAGAUGGCCUGAUAAGUUAGCAGUGGGAAAUCGAGGCUCAACCUCGUGGAAGCUGGUAAUACUGUCAGGCUCGAGUGCAGGAGAGGUUAACGGAACUCCAUGUGGAGCGGUAAAAUGCGCAGAUAUCAGGAGGAACACCUGUGGCGAAAGCGGCUCACUGGACCAUAACUGACGCUGAUGCACGAAAGCUAGGGGAGCAAACAGG